rnacentral:rRNA from 1 species
GAUGAACGCUGGCGGCGUGCCUAAUACAUGCAAGUCGAGCGAACAGACGAGGAGCUUGCUCCUCUGACGUUAGCGGCGGACGGGUGAGUAACACGUGGAUAACCUACCUAUAAGACUGGGAUAACUUCGGGAAACCGGAGCUAAUACCGGAUAAUAUAUUGAACCGCAUGGUUCAAUAGUGAAAGACGGUUUUGCUGUCACUUAUAGAUGGAUCCGCGCCGCAUUAGCUAGUUGGUAAGGUAACGGCUUACCAAGGCAACGAUGCGUAGCCGACCUGAGAGGGUGAUCAGCCACACUGGAACUGAGACACGGUCCAGACUCCUACGGGAGGCAGCAGUAGGGAAUCUUCCGCAAUGGGCGAAAGCCUGACGGAGCAACGCCGCGCGAGUGAUGAAGGUCUUCGGAUCGUAAAACUCUGUUAUUAGGGAAGAACAAAUGUGUAAGUAACUAUGCACGUCUUGACGGUACCUAAUCAGAAAGCCACGGCUAACUACGUG